rnacentral:rRNA from 1 species
AUGGAUGAUGGAACUGGUGGUGUUCAAGAAUCAAGUGACAUGUCGAUUUCAAGCGAUGAUGACACCAAUAAGCAACGGAAUGAAAGCAAUGUGGAACUUGAACAUGACCUUGGUGAAGCUCAACCAGAUGCCUUACUUGGAGACCCUAAAUUGGGGAUGACCUUUGAUACUGAGAAUGAGGUGCGAGAGUACUACAACAACUACGCUAAAGCAAAGGGCUUUGGUGUGACAAGAAGAAGCUCAAACAAUGAUGAUAAUGGACAGCUGAAGUAUCUUACACUUUCGUGCUCUCGGCAUGGUAAGACUCAGUCCAGAUCAAGAAAUAUGUUGAAACCAAAUCCAACAACCGGGUUAGGAUGUAAAGCUAAAAUCAAUAUUACCCGUGGUCCUGAUGGGAAGUUUCAUCUUUCAACUGUCAUUUUAGAUCAUAAUCAUACAUUAAGUCCACACAAGUCUCGGUUAUUCAGAUGCAACCAAAAGUUAGACUUCCAUGUGAAGCGAAGGCUUGAGCUGAAUGACCGGGCUGGAAUUCGAGUAAACAAGAAUUUCAAUUCUUUUGUUGUGGAAGCAAAUGGUCAUGAGAACCUAACUUUUGGUGAGAAGAAUGCUCGCAAUUUUCUAGAGAAAACAAGAAGGUUGAAACUUGGCAGAGGUGAUGCUGAAGCGGUUCGUGAUUUUUUUGUCAAGAUGCAAUCUGACAACCCAAAUUUUUCAGUGUCAUGGACCUUGAUGAUGAAUCUCGACUAA